UUACUUCAUUUGACGUGCCUCGGUUGUGCCGUCAAAGCGAGAUUUCUCGGCGGGCAUUCAGUUCCGUACGAUACUGCGCGUUCAACCGCCGCGGCAGGAUAAUACCGCGGCGGAUUUUGCCAAUCAUAUUUGAAGAAUGCAGACUAUGAGACGGACCCCUCAGUUUGAGUGCAAAGAACCUCCGCCUACAGCAGUCCGCAGUGCUUUCCUUGAAACUAUCUUCCAAGACUGUUGCAUCUGGACGUGACGAGGGUGAUGAAUUCAUGGAAGUGGAAGGAACAGGAGAGGAAGACAUCUGGCAAUGGUCAUGACAGUUGUCCGUCAGGAAUCUACAGGUGGUGAGCAUGCGUAAGGAAUUGACAUAUCUCAAUACAACUUAGACCUGCCUGUUGCACAUGAGAUGUGUGACUCUACUUACACACACAAGCUUCUGCAGGUUCGAUGCAUGUAUAUUUUGAAACAUGAAAGACAGAGUGCUAAAAAUAUAUCUGAGGUGAAAAAUUGAGCAGUUCACUGCAGUAAUUCUAUAGAUUUAUUUUCAGCAUUUUGGGAAAAAUAUAGUGAUGGCAAGAUUACCUGUGUUGUACUGCCAGACCAUCUGCCGUUGGAGUUCCAUGUCCCAGUUAUUAUAUAUAAUAGCUGUUUGAGGUUAUUACAUAUUUAUUAUGCAAGUUUUGUACCUGUGAGUUCUUGUAAAUGUGCUCUGUGGUGAUCAUACUGGACAGAGAGCUAUGCCUGUAUAAUAACAGUGACUAAUGUUCUCCUGCCCAUAAACCUAUUCCUAGGGUACAUCUGCACCCUUGGAAGUCACUGGAGAGGCGUGUUAGCUUAGCUCAAUUGGUAAGGGCCCUGGAUCGGUAAUACAGAAGAUGUGGAUUCAAGUCCUACUACCGGCUAACCUUUCUAGUGACUGCCUUCUUUCAUCAUUCAUUUCUUAGGCACUUGAUGCUUUGUAUGUAUUUGCCUUUUCUAUGUGUUCCAGUCUCAGAACGUCAACUGCCAUGUUCAAAAGAAGUGGAAAAUGCCUCUGCAAUCUGGAACCCAUCCCAACAUCUCUUAAUCGACAAAGUAGAAUUUGUACAGAACCGCACGGUUUGUUGCUCGUGAUUAUCAUCCUUUUUCCAGCGUCUCAGCCAUUAAAGCCAAACUCUUUCUUACUCCUUUGAUUACCAGAUGAAAGGUAUCACGCCUGGCAUUCUUUCAUAAGUUAUAUUACAGUCACACUCCUCCCCACCCCACUUACUGUCAAUCCCCUCACAAGUUACUUCCAAGACUUGAUGACUCGCACAAAGUACUUGCUCCACCUACACAAACAAAAAAAUUCCUCUACUCUCCGCACCAGCUGAUGGUGUCAAACUGGAAUGACGUUCCUGCCCACAUAGCAUCAGAACAAAAUGUAUCGUCAUUUAUUUCCAAGUGCUAUGAUCGUUUUCAGAUCGAAUGAAUUUCUUUGUGGUGAGUGAACAAAUUUUGUUUGCAUCAUUUUGGUAUUUGUCUUUUUUGGAUAAAAAACCUCCCGCAUUUAUGUAAAUCCCUUCACAAGGGUGUUUAAGUAAACAAAUGAAAUGAAGAACUUCGUGAUACUUUCAUAGUUGGAGCAUUUUUAAUGCAUAUUUUAAAACAGUGGCUGCUAAAAAUGUGUCAGACACCGUUACAAAGGCUGCCGUCUGUAUCAGGUGAAUCAUGAUUUUUCCCAGAAGCCCAAUAAUGUAUAACGCUGCAUCACAUAUGCUAUUUUGGAGCAAUCUCUGCAGACA